rnacentral:tRNA from 1 species
GCAUGGCUAGCUCAGUUGGUACAGCAGGAGACUCUUAAUCUCAGGGCUGUGGGUUCGAGCCCCAUGUUGGGUG